rnacentral:rRNA from 1 species
UAGGGAAUAUUGGACAAUGGGUGAGAGCCUGAUCCAGCCAUGCCGCGUGCAGGAAGAAGGCGUUAUGCGUUGUAAACUGCUUUUUGCCAGGGGAUAAAAUGACCGUGCGCGGUUAAUUGAAGGUACCUGGUGAAUAAGCCACGGCUAACUACGUGCCAGCAGCCGCGGUAAUACGUAGGUGGCAAGCGUUGUCCGGAUUUAUUGGGUUUAAAGGGUGCGUAGGUGGCCCUGUAAGUCAGUGGUGAAAUAUCUCAGCUUAACUGAGAGGGUGCCAUUGAUACUGCAGGGCUUGAGUACAGAUGAGGUAGGCGGAAUUGACGGUGUAGCGGUGAAAUGCAUAGAUAUCGUCAAGAACACCGAUAGCGAAGGCAGCUUACCAAGCUGUAACUGACACUGAGGCACGAAAGUGUGGGGAUCAAACAGGAUUAGAUACCCUAGUAGUCCCUGAGCGGGCUGGCAAGGCGCAU